rnacentral:rRNA from 1 species
AGCAGCCGCGGUAAUUCCAGCUCCAAUAGCGUAUAUUAAAGUUGUUGCAGUUAAAAAGCUCGUAGUUGAAUUUCGGGAUCAAAUUGUUGGUCGUGCUUCGGUACGCACUGGCAUUAUUGGUUCCUACCUUCUGAAGAACCGCGAUGUCAUUAAUUUGGUGUCGUGGGGAAUCAGGACUGUUACUUUGAAAAAUUAGAGUGUUUAAAGCAGGCGUACGCUUGAAUACAUUAGCAUGGAAUAAUGAAAUAGGACGUUUGAUUCUAUUUUGUUGGUUUCUAGGAUCGACGUAAUGAUUAAUAGGGAUAGUUGGGGGCAUUAGUAUUCAAUUGUCAGAGGUGAAAUUCUUGGAUUUAUUGAAGACUAACUACUGCGAAAGCAUUUGCCAAGGAUGUUUUCAUUAAUCAAGAACGAAAGUUAGGGGAUCGAAGACGAUCAGAUACCGUCGUAGUC